UACGUAGGUCCCGAGCGUUAUCCGGAUUUAUUGGGCGUAAAGCGAGCGCAGGCGGUUAGAUAAGUCUGAAGUGAAAGGCUGUGGCUUAACCAUAGUAUGCUUUGGAAACUGUUUAACUUGAGUACAGAAGGGGAGAGUGGAAUUCCAUGUGUAGCGGUGAAAUGCGUAGAUAUAUUGAGGACCACCGGUGGCGAAAGCGGCUCUCUGGUCUGUAUCUGACGCUGAGGCUCGAAAGCGUGGGGAGCAAACAGG
rnacentral:rRNA from 1 species